AGAGUUUGAUCCUGGCUCAGAACGAACGCUGGCGGCGCGUUUUAAGCAUGCAAGUCGAACGGUAAGCACGGUGCUUGCACUGUGCUGAGAGUGGCGAACUGGUGAGUAACACGUAGGUGAUCUACCUUGAGGCCUGGGAUAGCCUGUGGAAACACAGGGUAAGACCGGAUGAGACCCUGUACUUGCGGGUAGAGGGGGAAAGGUGCUAUGGCACCGCCUUAAGAUGAGCCUGCGUCCCAUUAGUUAGUUGGUGGGGUAAAGGCCUACCAAGGCGACGAUGGGUAGCCGGCCUGAGAGGGUGAUCGGCCACACUGGGACUGAGACACGGCCCAGACUCCUACGGGAGGCAGCAGCUAAGAAUCUUCCGCAAUGGACGAAAGUCUGACGGAGCGACGCCGCGUGAACGAAGAAGGCCGGAAGGUUGUAAAGUUCUUUUGCGGGUGAAGAAUAAGGCGAGGAGGGAAUGCCUCGCUGAUGACGUUAGCCUGUGAAUAAGCCCCGGCUAAUUACGUGCCAGCAGCCGCGGUAACACGUAAGGGGCGAGCGUUGUUCGGAAUUAUUGGGCGUAAAGGGCGUGUAGGCUGUUUUGUAAGCCUGGUGUGAAAGUGCACGGCUUAACUGUGUAUGUGCGCUGGGAACUGCAAGACUAGAGUCCGGAAGGGGGAGGUAGAAUUCCUGGUGUAGGGGUGAAAUCUGUAGAUAUCAGGAAGAAUACGGUGCGAAAAGGCGACCUCCUGGUCCUGGACUGACGCUGAGGCGCGAAAGCGUGGGGAGCGAACAGGAUUAGAUACCCUGGUAGUCCACGCUGUAAACGAUGUGCACUAGGUGUUGGGGCAAGAGCUUCAGUGCCGAAGCGAACGCGAUAAGUGCACCGCCUGGGGAGUAUGCUCGCAAGGGUGAAACUCAAAGGAAUUGACGGGGGCCCGCACAAGCGGUGGAGCAUGUGGUUUAAUUCGAUGAUACGCGAGGAACCUUACCAGGGCUUGACAUAUACCGGGAGCCGUGAGAGAUCACGGUGCCCCUUUGGGGCCGGUAUACAGGUGCUGCAUGGCUGUCGUCAGCUCGUGCUGUGAAGUGUUGGGUUAAGUCCCGCAACGAGCGCAACCCCUACUGUCUGUUGCCAACAGGUCGUGCUGGGGACUCAGACGGAACUGCCGGUGACAAACCGGAGGAAGGUGGGGACGACGUCAAGUCAUCAUGGCCCUUAUGUCCUGGGCUACACACGUGCUACAAUGGCCGGUACAGAGUGAGGCGAAACCGCGAGGUGGAGCAAAUCACAGAAAACCGGUCUCAGUUCGGAUCGGAGUCUGAAACCCGACUUCGUGAAGGUGGAAUCGCUAGUAAUCGCGCAUCAGCAUGGCGCGGUGAAUACGUUCCCGGGCCUUGUACACACCGCCCGUCACACCACCCGAGUUGGGGGUACCCGAAGUCGCUAGUCUAACCGGUAACGGGGGACGGUGCCGAAGGUAUGCCUGGUAAGGGGGGUGAAGUCGUAACAAGGUAACC
rnacentral:rRNA from 1 species